UUUUUUUUUUUUUUUUUUUUUUUUUUUUUUUGAAGCUGCCCUCUGGUAUUAGCUAAGGUGAAGUAAAAGAUUACCUUAUGAAGGUGUCCAUUUUUAACCUCCAUCUUUAGAUAUGCUCUUGUUCCUGGCCAUCCAAAGUGGCACAAUGAUACUCCUAUAGUAUUCCAUUUUAUUUACAUAGACACUCACUUGUUGCCUUCUGCCUUUAUUGACUGUGUCUCUCACUCAAUUAUAAGGAGCAGAAGAACAAGAGUCAUGUCUCUCAGUGACAUUAUCAUGACCUGGGUGCUUUGCAUAGUAGAAUGAUCAUAGCUGAUGAAAACACACAUGUUAGCUCUGCGGCUAUGUUGUAUGUUUGUUGACUUUAGGCUCUGUCUGUUCUCUUUGGUCUUUCUAAGAGAGACAACGGUCAAAAUAAGAAAAGAAACAAUUUUGGUACCACAUAUUUAGCAAUUCUUUAAUUCUUCCUAACUAGUUUCUGAUUUCUCUAUAAAUCUUUUGAUUUAUUUGUAAAUUAGAGAAGACUCAUACUACCUGUAAUAAAUAACUCAAGCUUCACUAAAUUUUAAAAUAGAAUUCAAGUUAUCAGUGACAACCGUCACUCAGAUUCUUUCUGAUAACUCACCACACACAAAGUGCAUUAAAUAAAAUUGAUGCCACUUCUUAUGAAAGUAGAAGACAUCCCCACUUGAAACCCCUAAACUUCAUAUCAAUGCUAAUUAAAAAUUGAUAAUAUGAGAACAUAUUGAUUUUUAUCACUCUUGGAAAACAAUAAACUAGGAAUAGAAAUAAGAUACUUGCCAAGUGCCUCAACUUUUCCCUCAUUGCUUCUUAUGUUACUAACUCUGAAAGGAACACUACAUUGUAAACAAACAACAUUUUUACUCAGCCAGCUGAAUGGACAUGAAGUGGCAUGGGGUCACCAAAAUAGAAACUGCUCUACACAUUAUUUUCUUGUAAGUCAUCUACAACUGAAAUGUGGCAAGCAAAUAUACUUCAUGCAUAUAAAAUGGGAUAUACAUGAUUUAUGUGAAGCUCUAAGCAAUCAAAGAAAAUAGCAGAAAUUUGCCUAGAACUGUCUUGAAAAUCUAAUAAUGUAUCUAUUGGCUACCAUUUUUAAACUGUUUAAAAUUAUUCUUAUUUUUAUUGAGCAAAAAUAUGGAUUUGCUAAAAUUCUCUUAUUUCAAGACUUUAAUUUGUUUUUAAGUUUAGCCAAAAAUUUUCCAGGCCUGGAGGUAUAUGUCUAUAUUAGGUUAUUAUGCCCACAUGAAGAAUAAUAAUUCUUUCUAUUGAUUCCCUGUGAUAAAUCUUUAUUCAUUAUGAAAGAGUAAAUAUCAUUCUGUGAUCAAAGAGUUGCAGUACUCAUACAAAAAGCAUAUUUCCAGUCUUUAAUUCAUUUCUGACAUCAAGGUCUAGCAUAUUAAAUCAGUGCUUUUAUUUAAACACAAUGGGAGCUUAUUGAAAUGCUAAACUCUAGGUGGUUUAUGUAGAUAAGUAUACUUUUUUCUUGUCCCUUGAUUCCAGUAAGCAUUUGAUGACAAACAUAACAUAUGAUGCAAGACACUGUACAUCUGUGGCUUUUGCCACAUGCCAUCAUGGUAAUGGAAUGCUAACUUGCAUUUUCAGCACAAUAUAAUGAUACAAGAAUUAUGUCUUGGGGCUGGGGAGAUGGCUCAGAGGCUAAGAGCACUGACUGCACUUCCAGAGGUCCAGAGUUCAAUCUCCAGCAACCACAAUGUGUCUCACAACCACCUGUAAUGGAAUCUGAUAGCCUCUUCUCUUGUGUCUAAAGAGAACUACAGUGUAUUCAUAUAAAU
rnacentral:lncRNA from 1 species